GGAACAAUGAUAGGAAAGUAAGUCAGAUCAUCUUUUAAAAAUACUUCCCGUAUAACAAACUAAAGAGGAAGUAAUUUCAGAUAAAUAAUCUUUCAAAGCACUAGUCAAACAUCAGCUUGAAGGGACUUGCAAAACAGCCUUCAUUUCCUCGUCCACAGCCUCUUUUCCCACAAUUUCCAAAUUCAUCUGUUUUAUGGUAAAUUCUUUGGGAUAUCACGAACCUUUAUUCCAAAUAAAGGUUCGGAAGUACAAUCUUCCAUUAAGAAAAAUUUCCUUGGUUUUUCCAUUUCCAAACAUUAAUCCACUUUUUCCUUCUUUUUUCCGUGUUUGUGUAAGCAUUUUCUGUUCCUCAUGUUUCAUCCUUUCCAUAAAAACAAACAUGGCAUAACUAAAAAUUCAAAAAGUUAGGUUAUUUUUAACUGAAAGAGCAACAUCACAUAGAGCAACUACAACAUCUAAAGCUAAACACCGGUAACCAAACAAUGAAGAUAGCUUUUUCCCCCGAGAAAUUGUUGUGAAAGAGAAAUAAUCCAAAUAUGAUCAAGUACAAGUCGUUUAACGCAAAAAAUUGAAUCCAAACAAAAUUCCACAAACACCAUAACAUAUUCUACAUACUGUGAUCUCAAUUUUUCCUUCUUGGGAAAUUUCUUUCACAGAAACUUGAAUUUCAGCUUUGAUAAUAGUAAAAUUCAUCUGUGUUUUGAAAAACAAAAAACCCGAAAAAGGAAUUGUGAAGAAGCAAAGACAAAACAAACUCACAUUUCCACUUUGAUCAAACCAAAUGUCACCCCAUUUCCGGAAACAAAUUUGAAAGAACAAAAUUAUCUCACACGAUACAUAAAAACAAACUUCAUUUGUCAAAAAGAACCUUUUUCCUUAACGAGAAUUGAGAAAUGAGAAUGCUAAAUAAAAACAAAAGAGUCAUUUCUGCGCACCCACAACCAAAUUCUCACAAAAAAAAAAAAACCUUAGAUUUUAGCUUUCAUCAAACCAAAUUUUAUCUGCUUUUCAAAACAAAUUGGACAAAUAAAAACAUAACACCAAAUAAAAACUUCAAUCAUAAACAAAAAUAAGAGAUAAAAGAAGACAUUUUUCAUUCACAACAGUUGAAAAAAAAAACAAACAAAAUCAGAAGAAACUCACAUUUGAUCUUUGAUCAAACCAAAUUGAUGUAUUUUGCAAACACAAACUUGAGAAUUAAAAUUUGCAACCAAAAACGAAAACAAACCUCCAUUGCCAGGAGCCAAAACUCUUCUCCAUCACAAAACUGGGAAAGAAAGAACAAAGAACAAAAACAACAAAAGUAGCAUGUCUGCUUCGGACAAACCAAAAUUCACCCAACAAAUUAAGAAAAAAGAGGAAUAAGAAGUCUGCUUUGAUCAAAACAAAUUUCACGUGCUUUCCAAACAAACUUCGAAAAUCCAAAAUUUAAAUUUAAAAAAAAAAAAAUCACUUCCCACGAAACAAAACAAACUUCAAUUUUGGACAAUGAUUUACUUUCUAAAUUGGAAACCCACAAGGAAAACAGCACAAACCCGCAUUUCGGCUUCGAUCAAACCAGACCCAGAACCAGAACUUCACUACACACAAUUCCCACCAAGAAAAAAAAAAAGUGAAGAUUUGAAAUUGUAGCAACAAGAACCUUGAUUGAGCGAGGGCGAGAGGGAGGAUCCCUCGGUCACUUGCCCUCUAGGCAUCGGAAUUCCGGCAUCGAAUUCCAUCCAGUUCCCAUCACUUUUCAGCAGCCGGAAUUCCCAUUACCCAAAGGCAGAAAAAACCAAAACC
rnacentral:lncRNA from 1 species